rnacentral:rRNA from 1 species
AUUGAACGCUAGCGGGAUGCUUUACACAUGCAAGUCGAACGAGUGGCGGACGGGUGAGUAAUAUAUCGGAACGUGCCCAGUAUCGGGGGAUAACUACUCGAAAGAGUGGCUAAUACUGCAUACUAUUGGAGCGGCCGAUAUCGGAUUGGCUAGUUGGUGGGGUAAAGGCUCACCAAGGUAACGAUCCGUAGCUGGUUUGAGUGGACGACCAGCCACACUGGAACUGAGACACGGCCCGGACUCCGACGGGGGGCGGCAGUGGGGAAUUUUGGGCAAUGGGGGAAACCCUGAUCCAGCCAUCCCGCGUGUGUGAGAAGGCCUUCGGGUUGUGAAGUACUUUUGGCAGAGAAGCGGUAUCAGCAGAGUAAGCACCGGCUAACUACGUGCCAGCAGCCGCGGUAAUUC